rnacentral:rRNA from 1 species
UACGGAGGGUGCAAGCGUUAUUCGGAAUCACUGGGCGUAAAGGGCGCGCAGGCGGUUUGGUUAGUCAGAUGUGAAAGCCCGGGGCUUAACCUCGGAAGUGCACUUGAUACUGCCAAACUUGAGUAUGGGAGAGGGAAGUGGAAUUCCUGGUGUAGAGGUGAAAUUCGUAGAUAUCAGGAGGAACACCGGUGGCGAAGGCGACUUCCUGGACCAAUACUGACGCUGAGGCGCGAAGGCGUGGGGAGCAAAC